AUUGAACGCUGGCGGCAUGCCUAACACAUGCAAGUCGCACGGGGGUAGCGAUACUCUAGUGGCGGACGGGUGAGUAAUGCGUAGGAAUCUGCCCUGCAGUGGGGGACAACUUGGGGAAACCCAAGCUAAUACCGCAUACGCUCGGAAGAGGAAAGCGGGGGAUCGCAAGACCUCGCGCUGUGGGAUGAGCCUACGUCCGAUUAGCUAGUUGGUGGGGUAAAGGCCUACCAAGGCGAUGAUCGGUAGCUGGUCUGAGAGGACGACCAGCCACACUGGGACUGAGACACGGCCCAGACUCCUACGGGAGGCAGCAGUGGGGAAUAUUGGACAAUGGGCGCAAGCCUGAUCCAGCAAUGCCGCGUGGGUGAAGACGGCCUGCGGGUUGUAAAGCCCUUUAGGCGGGGAGGAACGGCGUCGUGUAAACAAUGCGGCGUUCUGACGUUACCCGCGGAAUAAGCACCGGCUAACUCCGUG
rnacentral:rRNA from 1 species